UGGGGAUGCGUCUGUAUAGGUUGUUGCGGGUAACGGCCCACCAAGCCUACGAUCAGUAGGGGUUCUGAGAGGAAGGUCCCCCACACUGGUACUGAGACACGGACCAGACUCCUACGGGAGGCAGCAGUGAGGAAUAUUGGUCAAUGGACGAGAGUCUGAACCAGCCAAGUAGCGUGCAGGAAGACGGCCCUAUGGGUUGUAAACUGCUUUUAUCAGGGGAUAAAGUGGGAAACGUGUUUCCAUUGCAGGUACCUGAUGAAUAAGGACCGGCUAAUUCCGUGCC
rnacentral:rRNA from 1 species